GAUGAACGCUGGCGGCGUGCCUAAUACAUGCAAGUCGAGCGAACGGACGAGAAGCUUGCUUCUCUGAUGUUAGCGGCGGACGGGUGGGUAACACGUGGAUAACCUACCUAUAAGACUGGGAUAACUUCGGGAAACCGGCGCUAAUACCGGAUGAUAUUUUGAACCGCAUGGUUCAAAAGUGAAAGACGGUCUUGCUGUCACUUAUAGAUGGAUCCGCGCUGCAUUAGCUAGUUGGUAAGGUAACGGCUUACCAAGGCAACGAUGCAUAGCCGACGUGAGAGGGUGAUAGGCCACACUGGAACUGAGACACGGUCCAGACUCCUACGGGAGGCAGCAGUAGGGAAUCUUCCGCAAUGGGCGAAAGCCUGACGGAGCAACGCCGCGUGAGUGAUGAAGGUCUUCGGAUCGUAAAACUCUGUUAUUAGGGAAGAACAUAUGUGUAAGUAACUGUGCACAUCUUGACGGUACCUAAUCAGAAAGCCACGGCUAACUACGUG
rnacentral:rRNA from 1 species